UGCCCUGUGCCUGGGUGAGUGAGGUGUGCAAGGUGGGCCUCUGUUCUGCUGCCAGCCCAGCCAAUGAUGGCAAGGACAGAGGGUUCAAAGCUCUGACCCCCAUUGUAAACAGGGGGCAGAGGAGCCGCCCACCUGAGCAGCAUCAGAUCCAUGCAAAGUGCCAGGUGGAGGUGAAACACAGCCAGCGACACGACUGUUGGUAUUUCGGGUCAACUCACCUUGAGCUGGAGGGAGCAGUCAGCCUCCAAGAAGGCACGACGUGACACAGUCCAGACCCCUUGCCCGCCUCUGCUGGCCUUUCCUCAUCAGCAAAAUGUGGAGAUAACAGCGCCUACCUAAUUGGGAUGCUGUGAGGAUUGAGAGAAUACACAGAAACAGCUUAGAACACUACCUCAAUUGUUCUACACACACCUGAGUUGGCAAGUGUGUGAAGUAACCUCCUCCGAGUCCUGGACUGUGGACAGUGAUGCCACCUUUUGGCACAACUCCCCUAGAAUUUAAGGAGACCAAGACAUUGUGAAAACCAAGUGUCUCCCACCUUGCCAGGACCUAUAAAGUCAAGGGCGGUGCUGGCAUAUUUUGUUCCUGUGACAGGGGCUGAUGAGGUCACUGUGGGAAUCACAGCAAGUCCAAGUCCAUGAGGCUUAGGGAGAAGGCUGUGCAUCACCCUCAUGGGCCGGGAGCUCCAGGAACAGCUUUCCCAGAUUUACGCUGAGGGAGUCCUGAAUCCAGGAAGGAGGUUCCAUGGCCACCUGGCACCAUGUGUCAAUCUCCCAGGUCUGUGAGUACUCUGGUCUCAGCCAGCUGAGGAAGCCGUGGGUCAACAUGAAAAUGCACACCC
rnacentral:lncRNA from 10 species